UAUUCUGACUGUACUUUCUCUGCAAAAGUUUUUAUUCACACACAAACACAAACACACAGAGAUAUACACACGCAUAAACCUUACUCAUCACUGUAUCUCUUCGCUCCCAAACAACCAAAAACCCUAACUUUCUCUAGAGAAAAACCUCCUUUCUCUCUAGCUGAAUUUAUCUGUUGUGUUUUUGAGUUAAAAGGUUUUCAAUGGUGUGAAAUCGAGUCUUUAGACAGAUUUUAAAAGUAUCUGUUUCUGUAUGUUUAGGUAUAUAAAGUGAAAAAAGCUAUGGCGCCAUCUGAUAAAGAGUUGGAGCUGUUGUUAAUGGAGGCUGGAAACAAGCUCCUUGAACCUCCCUCCUCAGUUGAUGAGCUCAUCACUCUCCUCGAUGUAAGCCCUAGUAUCUUAUUUUAAUCUUUCUCACUUAGUUCUGUUUCGUUCUUUUGGUUUUAUGUUAUGCAUGUGGUUUUCAUUUUGUUUUUUCGGUGACUGAAUAUUGGUUUUCUGAAAGUAAAGUAAGCUGCAUUGGCCUCUUCGUGAUCUACGUUUUCGUUUGUCCUAAAGGUUUUGUCUUUUUUUGUUCUUGGUUCUGUAUUUUAUUUUCGUGUUGAAUUAUGCUUCUGCCGUUACUGUUGUAAUCUUGAAUAAGUUCAAAAGUAAUUGCUAACUAUUUUUCUGUUCUGCCUCUGUCUAUAG
rnacentral:lncRNA from 1 species